rnacentral:rRNA from 1 species
UCCGUAGGUGAACCUGCGGAGGGAUCAUUACUGAGUGAGGGCCUUCGGGCUCGACCUCCAACCCUUUCGUGAACACAACUUGUUGCUUCGGGGGCGACUCUGCCGUUUCNACGGCGAGCGCCCCCGGAGGCCUUCAAACACUGCAUCUUUGCGUCGGAGUUUAAGUAAAUUAAACAAAACUUUCAACAACGGAUCUCUUGGUUCUGGCAUCGAUGAAGAACGCAGCGAAAUGCGAUAAGUAAUGUGAAUUGCAGAAUUCAGUGAAUCAUCGAAUCUUUGAACGCACAUUGCGCCCUCUGGUAUUCCGGAGGGCAUGCCUGUUCGAGCGUCAUUUCACCACUCAAGCCUGGCUUGGUAUUGGGCGCCGCGGUGUUCCGCGCGCCUCAAAGUCUCCGGCUGAGCUGUCCGUCUCCAAGCGUUGUGAUUUCAUUAAUCGCUUCGGAGUGCGGGUGGCCGCGGCCGUUAAAUCUUUCACAAGGUUGACCUCGGAUCAGGUAGGGAUACCCGCUGAACUUAAGCAUAUCAAUAAGCGGAGGA